UUGGUGGCUUUUCAUUUUCUCAUUUUGCUCAUCAUUGAUGUUAAUUGUACUACUGCUAAACAGCAUAAUUAACCUGCUAGGCCGCUCCACCAUGUUUUAUGGCAAUUUCAAAUCGCCACAAAAUGUGUUUUGUGAUUUUUUUUUUAACUUUCCUCUUUGUGAUAUAAAAAAAAAACCGCUAUAGAAGUGGGAGAGGAAAAUAUAUCGUUAAUGAUCAAAAAGAUUGGUAGAAGGAGGAAAUUAAAAAGUACUAUCUUCAUGUUUUGUUUUUUUUUUUUAUGGGAAAGAUGUUCAAUAGGAGGAUUAAAAAAAAAGAUUGCCGUUGCAAAAAGGUAAAUGAAAAAUGAGAGAUAGAAGAAUAGCAAAAAUAGAUUAUGUGUCGUGCCCCUAUAUAAAUUCGGUUCCCUUCAAAGAUAUUUUCCUUGGAUCUAAUGAGGGUUUCUCAAAUCCAUGUCUCUCUUGCGCCGCCAGAUGCAACCCAAGGCGCCGUGAGUGGCGGCCGGAAAACUGAGACUGAAGAAGACUGAGGUGCGGAUGAAGAUGACGCUGAGGAGGAAGAAGUGCCCGUGAAGAGCUCUACGUUGUUCAUCGACGGGAUCUCUAAAAGGGUGGGGUACGCUCAAAUCAGGGCCUUGUUCGCGCAAAUUGGAAGGGUAGGGAAGGUUUUCAUUCAGCGGCAGCGUAAGAUUGGACGACGAUUCCGGUUUGGGUUCGUGCGAUUCUUGACUCGGGCUCACACGGAGGCGGCACUGCUCAGACUAAACGGGGUCAAGGUAGAAGGGUUCCAUCUUUCGGUGACGGUGGCGAAAUUCCCUCGGGUGCGUGGGUCGGCUUCUCGAAACCCUUGCUCUGGUCAUGUGGUCCACAGCAAGAAUAGGGAAGAGGUGGGCUUCUUGGAGAAUGGAACUCAGAGAAUAGGGUCUCUGCAUUCCUCCUUCUCUUGGCGGGAUGUUGUGACAGGCAAGUCUUCUGAUUAUCGUGCUACUAUGCUGCUGCCGGCGGAUGAUUUUGUGUUGACAGGUUUGAGGAGGGGCUGAGGACUCCCGAGGCUCUCCUUUUCCUUGAGAUUGUAUUUUUUUGAUCGAUCUCUUGAGGAUUGCAGUGUUGGGGCUGAGGCUAGGAAAUUUCAGGAUGUAGCUAUAUUUCCUAAGGUGUGGCACGACAGGUUCAAGCUUGAAGGCCCUGUUAUGCAUCUCUGUGCAGAUUUGGAAGAGGGUGACGAGGUGGACUGCUGCACAGCUCUGGUUCGUGACUCAGAGCGGGCUUUGGAUGUUGGCGAGAGUCAUGAUAUUGGUCUGGGAUGUGACGUGGAUAUAUAGGGGCUUUGCGACGACCCCGGCGAAGCUAUUAGGCUGCCUAAGCAGCGAGGUCGUCCUAAAAAGGCUUCUAGUGGGCCUUGUUCCUCGUUGUCACCUCGUUCCUAUGGUCGACCUAGGAAGGCAGUGCUUUAGGUUAGUGAGGUGGAGCCUGAGGCUAACUCUUCUUCAGGUCUUAGGUCGCAUCUUUCGGGUCAGUUGGUGCUUUUUGAACCUCCAACUUCCAAGGGUCCUCUAGGUGUUAUGACAAGGGCAAGGGCGGCUUUGAUUUUAGGAAAACGUAUGGGUUUGUCCUACGAUUGUUCUGACGAGGUCGCCCUUCAAGGCAUUUCUCAAAACAUUAGGUCUCGUCGGGAUGGUCAUCGCUGAUUGGAUUGGAUGGGCUCUUUCGGUUUGUUUAUGGGUUUUUUUGGAUGGUUUGGGUUGUAUUUAGUAGGCUUUGCUAUGUGGGGGUGAUUUAUUUUGUCUGUUGGCUAGCAGUUUUUAAAGCUAUUCUUACUUCCCUUGUUUUUUGUU